UGGGGAAUAUUGCACAAUGGAGGAAACUCUGAUGCAGCGACGCCGCGUGAGUGAAGAAGUAGUUCGCUAUGUAAAGCUCUAUCAGCAGGAAAGAUAAUGACGGUACCUGACUAAGAAGCACCGGCUAAAUACGUGCCAGCAGCCGCGGUAAUACGUAUGGUGCAAGCGUUAUCCGGAUUUACUGGGUGUAAAGGGAGCGCAGACGGCAUGGCAAGCCAGAUGUGAAAGGUGGGGGCUCAACCCCCAAGCUGCAUUUGGAACUGUCAAGCUAGAGUAUCGGAGAGGUAAGUGGAAUUCCUAGUGUAGCGGUGAAAUGCGUAGAUAUUAGGAGGAACACCAGUGGCGAAGGCGGCCUGCUGGACUGUAACUGACACUGAGGCUCGAAAGCGUGGGGAGCAAACAGGAUUAGAUACCCUGGUAGU
rnacentral:rRNA from 1 species